GGUUGACUGGCCUAGUGGUUAGGGCGUCCCCUUUACACUCAUGAUGAAAAACGGGGAAGGUCGCAGGUUCGAUCCCUGCGUCGACCA